UGGGGAAUUUUGGACAAUGGGGGCAACCCUGAUCCAGCCAUUCCGCGUGAGUGAAGAAGGCCUUCGGGUUGUAAAGCUCUUUCAGCAGGAACGAAACGGUCGGCUUUAAUAAAGUCGGCUAAUGACGGUACCUGCAGAAGAAGCACCGGCUAACUACGUGCCAGCAGCCGCGGUAAUACGUAGGGUGCGAGCGUUAAUCGGAAUUACUGGGCGUAAAGCGUGCGCAGGCGGCGACAUAAGACAGAUGUGAAAUCCCCGGGCUCAACCUGGGAACUGCGUUUGUGACUGUGUUGCUAGAGUGUAGCAGAGGGGGGUGGAAUUCCACGUGUAGCAGUGAAAUGCGUAGAGAUGUGGAGGAACACCGAUGGCGAAGGCAGCCCCCUGGGUUAACACUGACGCUCAUGCACGAAAGCGUGGGGAGCAAACAGGAUUAGAUACCCCUGUAGUCCCUGAGCGGGCUGGCAAGGCGCAU
rnacentral:rRNA from 1 species